rnacentral:lncRNA from 1 species
CCUUCAUGGAAUUUUGUACCAGUAAUGGCUGGUAAUUAAUUGUUAUACCAGGUGGAAAAGUAUAUCAUUCAGGGUAUAUGAAGUAAACAUGUAAAGAGAAAUGACCACACACACCUGAAACCAGGUCUCAUUUCAAAACCGUUUCCUACCUUGGAUUUGCUUAAUUUACUUCAUGAGGUGCCUCCAGGAGAGGAAGCAGAGCUGGGGUCUGCCCCGAGGCCGCUUCAGGAAGAGCUGGGUGGGCACCAAGCCCCUCAGACAGAGGGCUCCGCUACGUGGCUAUGACCCCAUCCCUGCGGCUCCCCGAGCGUGUGUCCCUGUGUGUCACGCAAACCCCUGCCACACAGGGGACACAUGCCACACGCCUGACAACAGGCUCAGCACACAGCGAUCAGUAAGUGGUGACUAGAGAGAAGCGACGGCCUCCAGCGUGGACGGAGAAAACAGGCCACAGGCUCACAGAGGAAACGCCACAGAUCCACAGACGGAGGAAAUGCCACAGACGCACGGACGGAGGAAACAGGCCACAGACGCUCGGACGGAGGAAACAGGCCACAGACGCUCGGACAGAGGAAAUGUCACAGAUGCACAGACGGAGGAAACAGGCCACAGACGCAGGGACGGAGGAAACGCCACAGACGCACGGACGGAGGAAACAGACCACAGACGCACGGACGGAGGAAACGCUACAGACGCACGGAAGGAGGAAACAGGCCACAGACACACAGACGGAGGAAACGCCACAGACGCACGGAAGGAGGAAACAGGCCACAGACGCACGGAGGGAGGAAACGUCAUAGACACAUGGACGGAGGAAACAGGCCACAGACGCAUGGACGGAGGAAACACCACAGACACACGGAUGAAAGAAACACCACCGAUGCAGGGACGGAAGAAACACCACAGAUGCACGGAUGGAGGAAACGCGCCACAGAGGCACGCACGGAGAAAACAGGCCACACACGCACGCAUGGAGAAAACGCCACAGACCCACGGACGAAGGAAACAGGCCAGAGACGCGCACACGCCAGUGUGGAACAUCGGACAGGAACGUCCCGGCCAUGCACCGUCCACUCCCACUAGGGACUCCCCACCCCAGAGCACCCAGGAUGGCUGUGGAGCUCCUGCCGCCCACCCCAGAGGCGAAGCUGGGGAGCCAGAGAUGAGCAGGUUCACAUCCAUCAAAUGCGGCUGCAAUCCCUGUAAUAACUGGAGGUCACCAUUAAACAGAAGGGCACUUCACUUGGAAUGAAAGCACUCUGCAUAAAAGAACUAAAGA